AGCCUUCUUCCAAUCUGAAACCAGGGAGUCAGGGCUUUGAGAGCACAAGAUUCAGCUUCCUUGUUUUCCUGUCAGAGCAGAAGUCAGAAAAUGAAACAGGAAACAGAGCGGAAGAGGAGGGGGUUGGGUAGCAGAGAAGGAAAAGAGAAAUUGCAGGAAAGUACAGCUGAAAAUCUGGAUAAAGUUCUACCUCUACAGGGUGACAGCUGAGCUUUUAAAAAACAUUCUGACUUGUCUUGAGAGACCCCUGGCCUUUUUACAAAUAGAUUUUUGAGAGAAUUUGAUGUGGACAGAGGGAACCCUGAGAAUGCAUGUCUUUUUUCCCCUUGUGAAUUUACAGAGCAAGGACAGUUCAUUUCUCAGUUUUGUCUUUGCAGAGAGAGUGCUGCUUGGAGCCUCAUGGUGGACUUCUAGAGAUUCAAGUCACAGCCUUAGGCCCCAGUCACAAGUGUGUCCCCAGGCUUUGCCACGUUACUCACAGGCCUCUGGAGCUGAGAACAAGUGCGUGGCACUGAAAAACCUGGGGGAAGGGCCAUGAAACUCCAUUUUUCCCCCUUCUCCAACACACAACGACUAAAUAUGAUUUGCCUUUUCUCCACCUUGCACACAACAAAUAUCUGAAGGCAAUUUAGGUCUCAGGGCCUGAAAUGAGUUACAGAGUCAAGAGAUACAGUCCCAGGCCCCCACAGACUGAUGUGGGCUGGUCUUCGCCUAGAGAGGUAGCAACCAUCUCUUUGUUCCCACCCACAUGAGUAGCCGUUGCAGAAGAUAAACCCCUCCCUGAGCCAGGCUGUGGCCAGAGGCUAACCCGGCCCCUGGCUUCGUUUGGAGGGCAGAUAACUGAAACCACAUAAGGCUUUGGAAUCCUGAGAAACAAGAAAUCCACCAACGGAGAAGGAUUUAUCAUCUGUUUCCUUUAAGGAGGGUGCAAAGUUGUUCUAACAGUUUCCGUUACAAGGGUACAAACUGGCCGCUCCCCCCAAUAGACGGUUUUGUUGAGUUCGCCUCUUUUUUUUUCUUCUUUUUUUGGCCCCACUUCCUAUGAGAGAAACUGCUUGGGUGAGGGAGGUGAAAGGAGCCCUGGAGGGUGUUCUCUGAGGUUUUCUUCACCAUCCUCAUUAGCCACCUGAGGUGGGGCUGAGGACUGAAGUAGGACAGAAGGUCUCUGGUAGCUAGAGGAGGGGAAAAUCAGGGGGAUCCCCCACUUUCUUCACACCCAGGACGCAGGGUGCCGCUGCCGGCCACAGAAACCCCAAGAAUGCUUUUCUUUGGCUAUUCAGAGGACAUCUAUUGUGUGUCAGGCCCUGUGCUGAGCUGUUGUUGCCUGACAGCAGGAAGAGCGCGGCUCUGGUUUCUGUGAAGAGGCUGCGGGUCAGCCCCCGACUACAAGAGCCUCGGCCCACAACGGGAACUCAGUGAACGUCAGCGGGAGCUGGGGCAAGAGCACUGACUCUGAGACAGCAGCCUCCGCUCACUAUUUGAAGGCGGGGUGGCGGGGGGCCUUGAAGGAGAGCGAAGUGCGAGAGAACUCUUCAGGUGUCACCAAGAGGCCUGAGGGAGCUCAAUCCUGGUAGCAACACCCCUGAAUUCCUGGUGGUGAGAGGAUGUGGCCCCAGGACCCAUCCCGGAAGGAGGUGCUGAGGUUUGCAGUCAGCUGCCGUAUCCUGACUCUGAUGCUGCAGGCCCUCUUCAAUGCCAUCAUCCCAGAUCACCAUGCAGAAGCCUUCUCUCCUCCUCGCCUGGCCCCCUCAGGCUUUGUGGACCAACUCGUGGAAGGUCUUCUGGGCGGCCUGUCUCACUGGGAUGCUGAACACUUCUUGUUCAUUGCUGAGCAUGGCUACCUGUAUGAGCACAACUUUGCCUUCUUUCCUGGUUUCCCCUUGGCCCUGCUGGUGGGGACUGAACUGUUGAGACCCUUACGGGGGUUACUGAGUCUACGCAGUUGCCUGCUGAUUUCGGUAGCAUCACUCAAUUUCUUGUUCUUCAUGUUGGCUGCAGUUGCACUUCAUGACCUGGGUUGUCUGGUUUUGCACUGUCCCCGCCAGUCCUUUUAUGCAGCUCUGCUUUUCUGUCUCAGCCCUGCCAAUGUCUUCCUGGCAGCUGGUUACUCAGAAGCUUUGUUUGCCCUCCUGACAUUCAGUGCCAUGGGGCAGCUGGAGAGGGGCCGAGUCUGGACUAGUGUACUCCUCUUUGCCAUUGCCACUGGGGUACGCUCCAACGGGCUGGUCAGUGUUGGCUUCCUCAUGCAUUCUCAAUGCCAAGGCUUUUUCUCUUCUCUAACGAUGCUGAAUCCUCUGAGACAGCUCUUUAAGCUGAUGGCCUCUCUGUUUCUGUCGGUGUUCACACUUGGCCUUCCCUUUGCCCUCUUUCAGUAUUAUGCCUACACCCAAUUCUGUCUGCCAGGCUCAGCCCGCCCCAUUCCUGAGCCUUUGGUACAGUUAGCUGUAGACAAGGGCUACCGGAUUGCAGAGGGAAAUGAACCGCCUUGGUGCUUCUGGGAUGUUCCACUAAUAUACAGCUAUAUCCAGGAUGUCUACUGGAAUGUUGGCUUUUUGAAAUACUAUGAGCUCAAGCAGGUGCCCAAUUUUCUACUGGCUGCACCAGUGGCUAUACUGGUUGCCUGGGCAACUUGGACAUACGUGACCACCCACCCUUGGCUCUGCCUUACACUUGGGCUGCAAAGGAGCAAGAACAAUAAGACCCUAGAGAAGCCCGAUCUUGGAUUCCUCAGUCCUCAGGUGUUUGUGUACGUGGUCCACGCUGCAGUGCUGCUGCUGUUUGGAGGUCUGUGCAUGCAUGUUCAGAUGGAGUCUCGUUCUGUUGCCCAGGCUGGAGUGCAGUGGUGCGAUCUCAGCUCACUGCAACCUGUGUCUCCUGGGUUCAAGCGACUCUUCUGCCUCAAUCUCCCGAGUAGCUGGAAUUACAGGCGCCUGCCACCACCGCCUAGCUAAUUUUUGUAUUUUUAGUAGAGAUGGGGUUUCACCACGUUGGCCAGGCUGGUCUCGAAAUCCUGACCUCAAGUGAUCUGCCCGCCUCAUCCUCCUAAAGUGCUGGGAUUACAGGCGUGAGCUACCACGCUCGGCCUGAGAUUUUUUUUUUUUUUUUUUUUGAGACGGAGUCUUGCUCUGUCACCCAGGCUGGAAUGCAGUGGCAUGAUCUCAGCUCACUGCAAGCUCCACCUCCCAGGUUCACGCCAUUCUCCUGCCUCAGCCUCCCGAGUAGCUGGGACUACAGGCACCUGCCACCAUGCCUGGCUAAUUUUUUGUAUUUUUAGUAGAGACGGGAUUUCACCGUGUGAGCCAGGAUGGUCUGGAUCUCCUGACCUCGUGAUCCACCCGCCUUGGCCUCCCAAAGUGUUGGGAUUAUAGGCACGAGCCACCGCGCCCAGCAAGAUUUUUUUUUUUUAAAGCUCAGAUAAAGUAUUAUGGAGGCAAAGAAGAAGUAGGUAACUCACUGGAGUACUUGAGAAAGGCAUCAUAUUUCAGCUGGGUCCUGAAGAAUGAGAUUUUCCAUAUAAGAAGCAGAGGAGGAACAUUCUAGGUUCUCACCAGGUUUUUGGGCUCCUCCACUCCUAUUAUGUACUGGUUUCCAGCUCACUUGCUUCAGGAUCAAGAGCCGCUGUUGAGAUCCUUAAAGACUGUGCCUUGGAAGCCUCUUGCAGAGGACUCCCCACCAGGACAAAAGGUCCCCAGAAAUCCUAUCAUGGGACUUUUGUAUCACUGGAAAACCUGUUCUCCAGUCACACGAUACAUUCUAGGCUACUUCCUGACUUACUGGCUCCUGGGACUACUCCUACAUUGCAACUUCCUGCCUUGGACAUGACCUGGACUCUCCAGGGACAGGUUGGAAGCCAACUUAACCCAGGGGUCUGAAAGUAAAAAUACACAUUGGAACUGCCUCUGCUGCCCUGGGAUCAUUACUGUGUCCAUUAUAAUCUUUCUCUUUCUCUUUGAAAGCUGGUCAGGAAUGGGAGAAGUGUCAGACGCUAGAGAGCCCCUUCUGGUCCUGGCUAGGGCAAAUUUUAGACAACUAUUUUCUCUGUAAGUGAAGAUUGUCGUAUUCCAAGUCUAAAAUACACCUGGAUCUGUCUAGUCAAUCAAUAUAGCAGAGACAGUCUUAAACCUACCAUUGACCUGUGUGUAAAUUUAAAUGUCAAUUUAUUGAAGUGUAAAUUUCAUCAAAGGCAUUAGCUGACAGGCUGGUAACAGUCCACACAAGAUGGUACAGGCCUGAACAGUGUAGUGGCAGUAAUAAAGUGGGACCAUUUUUUCCAAAUGCGA